rnacentral:rRNA from 1 species
GACGAACGCUGGCGGCGUGCUUAACACAUGCAAGUCGAACGGAAAGGCCCUGCUUUUGUGGGGUGCUCGAGUGGCGAACGGGUGAGGAACACGUGAGUAACCUGCCCUUGACUUUGGGAUAACUUCAGGAAACUGGGGCUAAUACCGGAUAGGAGCUCCUGCUGCAUGGUGGGGGUUGGAAAGUUUCGGCGGGUGGGGAUGGACUCGCGGCUUAUCAGCUUGUUGGUGGGGUAGUGGUUUACCAAGGCUUUGACGGGUAGCCGGCCUGAGAGGGUGACCGGCCACAUUGGGACUGAGGUACGGCCCAGACUCCUACGGGAGGCAGCAGUGGGGAAUAUUGCACAAUGGGCGGAAGCCUGAUGCAGCGACGCCGCGUGCGGGAUGACGGCCUUCGGGUUGUAAACCGCUUUAGCCUGUGACGAAGCGUGAGUGACGGUAAUGAGUAAAGAAGCACCGGCUAACUACGUG